rnacentral:lncRNA from 1 species
GUAAAUAAACCAAGUUUAUUGGUUCUAACUGUUUAUGAUGGAGUCUUUAAGGUUUUCUAUAUAUAAAAUUAUGUAAUCUGCACAUAUGAAUAAUUUGAUUUCCUCUUUUUCAAUUCAGAUGACUUUUAUUUUUCUUUCUUGCCUAAUUGAUCUUGUUAGGAAUUCCAGUAUUAUGGAAUAAAAGUUAUGCAAAUGGAAUCUUUGUCUCGUUCCAGAUCUUAGAGGAAAAGCAUUCAACUUUUCCCCAAACUGUGAGGUUGGCACAUAUGGCUUUAAUUGUGUUGAGUUGCUCUGGCUAGAGUUUCACUGGUCUAAGAGGAAAAGCUUUGAAAUUUUCACCAUUGAAGAAGAUAUUGGCAGAAGGUCCACUACUGUGUCACAUAGGGACAUCCGUCACAUAGCCAGAUGGAGAGCUAUGUGGAAUAAAAUCUGGGAGAAUCUCAAGCACAGGAGCUUAUUUUCCCAUGGAGUCGGGUCAUAACAACCUCCCAGCUCAUAAAUGCAUUCAUUCACCUUGAAGCUUCCAUUAUUCCUUUUUAAAUUUUAGUCAUCUUCAUUUUUUUCAGAGUUACCACUAACUACACUAAAUGCAUUAUUCUAAGCACAUUGCAUGAGGAUAUAAUUUUUAUGGAAAUUCUAAAUGAAACAGGUUAGGCAUGUGCAAUUCAAAACAUUAACCAAGAAUAGAAAUUUCAAUCAUAUCAUUUUCUUACCAUGUCUUAAUAUUUUUUUAAAAUGUGUUUAGAUAUAAAAAUCUUCUAUAAUUUUCUAAUGUAAUUUCUACUAGAAAAAUUUUUAAAGUUCUUGUACAUACAAAGUAUCUAAGUAAAAUGUCUAAAGCCAUUAAUGCCCUAUCAGACUCUGUUACAGAUCUAACUGAUGGUUAAGUGGUGAUAUUAUAAGGUUGUCUUGUUCUAGGAAAGUAACGUGCUAGACACAGCCCUCUCUGAAGAGCUGCAUGAUAGUUGAGAUUCAACUGAAAAAGGAAAUGAUGACCCUUACAAAGCUACGUGUUUGAAUAAGAACUUUGUCUUGUACAGACGUAUUUUGAAAGAAGAAUCAAGUUGAAAUCUUAGGAAAAAAAAUGAGUCAUGUUCCACAAAAUAAUCUGAAUAAAAGUUCAGGCAUUUGGCAUAACAUGAUAUUUUUACAAUGAUGCCUAUUAAUGUUUUUCUACUUUUAAUACAAAUGCUUUGAGCAUAAAUUUAAAAGAAAGAGAGACAAAGCCUUUUGUUUCAUAAGCUGUGUGUUCCUUUCUCUCUUAGGAGGAUCAUGUUUUUGUAAGAUUAAUACUGAAUGACUCAAGAGGCUUAAAUACAAUUUACUUCUUUCCCUAAGGUUGAUGGAAAUGGUAAUACAGAGAACUAAGCAUAAUUUUCCACAAAAAAUUCUCACUUCAGCAACUAUAUUCUCUUCUAGGCUCCUAGCAUGCUAUAAAAUAUGUCUGCAGUUUACAGCACACUGUAGAGAAUACAUUAAAAUGCACACUCACAGUUUCGUAUACAGGGAUGGAGACACAUUUGAUGGAUGAAGAAUUCACCAUUCAUCCUCUGAUAUGUUCCAAUUUGAACAAGCAAAGGAGCUGGCAGACCAGACACUUCUACUUGAGUCAACCUGUGACAGAAGCAGUACCAGGUCAACUCUUGUGACUAUAACAGAUUAAGGCUUUGGGACAUUGCAAUUCCCAUAACAGCAUAAAAAUCACAGCCAUUCAGGUAUCUCUCAGUGUUAUGUAACAUAGGUAUUAAUGGCAAUUUUAUCUCAUAUUUUAGUAAUUUUCAUAGUAAUAGUAUUUCUCUAUUGAAAACAAUAUAAGCCAUACUCUGUUUAUGAUUUUCUAAUCAUUAUGAGUUGGUAAUAUUAUUUUUUAAUAAAAAGUCACUUUAAAACUAAAUAAGUGGUGAUUACAGUAAAUAAAAUUGAACAUAAAUUAUAAUUUAUUAUUGCUAUAAUCUUACUAGUUCUUUUCAACGUGCAAGACAAAAAAGGGCUAGUUUUUCUGAAUAUAUGUUAAGAAUUAAAACUUAGCUGUGAGUUACUGACGGUAAAUAAAUGAAUUAAUGAGAAUGCUGUAUAUCUGUGUGCCAGUUUUUCUGCUAUAGGUAAGUUCCAUGAUUUAACAGUAAUUUGUAUUUAAAUCUGUUCUUUUCUUUAAUUCUUAAACUUACUAUUAUUUUGUUAUUUCAAAGAACAACAUUAAAAUUAUUCAAAGAACUUCAUCUUAAUUUUUCAUCAGAUUGCAUCUGUAUUCACAAAUUAAAAUUUAUUUGUUGAAAAUAAUCACUCUUUUAAAUGUAGGUGAAAUAUAUAAAGCUGUGCCUUCCAUUUGUUCAAUAUACGUUAAAUGACGUUUGCUAAAAUAAC